UUCGGGUUGUAAACCUCUUUUAGCAAGGAAGAAGCGAAAGUGACGGUACCUACAGAAGAAGCGCCGGCUAACUACGUGCCAGCAGCCGCGGUAAUACGUAGGGCGCAAGCGUUGUCCGGAAUUAUUGGGCGUAAAGAGCUCGUAGGCGGUUUGUCGCGUCUGCUGUGAAAGUCCGAGGCUCAACCUCGGAUCUGCAGUGGGUACGGGCAAACUAGAGUGUGGUAGGGGAGACUGGAAUUCCUGGUGUAGCGGUGGAAUGCGCAGAUAUCAGGAGGAACACCAAUGGCGAAGGCAGGUCUCUGGGCCACAACUGACGCUGAGGAGCGAAAGCAUGGGGAGCGAACAGGAUUAGAUACCCUGGUAGUCCAAGGGCGAAU
rnacentral:rRNA from 1 species